CAGUCGCCGCGGGAAUACGUAGGGGGCAAGCGUUAUCCGGAUUUACUGGGUGUAAAGGGAGCGUAGACGGCGAAUAAAGUCUGAAGUGAAAUCCCGCAGCUCAACUGCGGAGUUGCUUUGGAAACUUAUAAGCUGGAGUGUCGGAGGGGUAAGCGGAAUUCCCAGUGUAGCGGUGAAAUGCGUAGAUAUGUGGAGGAACACCGAUGGCGAGGGCAGCCCCCUGGGCUAAGAUUGACGCUCAUGCACGAAAGCGUGGGGAGCAAACAGGAUUAGAUACCCGGGUAGUCCCUGUCUCUUAUAA
rnacentral:rRNA from 1 species